rnacentral:rRNA from 1 species
UCGCCACGGUAAUACCCCGCUCCCCCGAGUGGUGGGGACGCUUAUUGGGCCUAAAAGCAUCCGUAGCCGGCUGGAUAAGUCCCCCUGUUAAAAUCCAGCGAUUCAAUCGCUGGACUGCGGGGGAUACUGUCCAGCUAGGGGGGCGGGAAAGGCCGACGGUAUUCCCGGGGUAGGGGUGAAAUCUUAUAAUCCCGGGAGGACCACCAGUGGCGAAGGC